rnacentral:rRNA from 1 species
CCUACGGGCGGCAGCAGUGGGGAAUAUUGGACAAUGGGCGAAAGCCUGAUCCAGCCAUGCCGCGUGUGUGAAGAAGGCCUUCGGGUUGUAAAGCACUUUCAGUGGGGAAGAAAGCCUUGGGGCUAAUACCCUCGAGGAAGGACAUCACCCACAGAAGAAGCACCGGCUAACUCCGUGCCAGCAGCCGCGGUAAUACGGAGGGUGCGAGCGUUAAUCGGAAUUACUGGGCGUAAAGCGCGCGUAGGCGGUCUGAUAAGCCGGUUGUGAAAGCCCCGGGCUCAACCUGGGAACGGCAUCCGGAACUGUCAGGCUAGAGUGCAGGAGAGGAAGGUAGAAUUCCCGGUGUAGCGGUGAAAUGCGUAGAGAUCGGGAGGAAUACCAGUGGCGAAGGCGGCCUUCUGGACUGACACUGACGCUGAGGUGCGAAAGCGUGGGUAGCAAACAGGAUUAGCUACCCCUGUAGUC